ensembl:lincRNA
AGCUGGAAGGGCCGAGAAUAGCGAGCAGCUAGGCUGAUAUAGCCAUGGCGCCGCCUCCUGCCUCGGGGAGGAACUGAAUUCUGUCCAAGCAUACUUUAUUUUUAAGCUUGGUUCCUUUCUUAGUUCUUAAAACAAUGAUUGAGCGCCCACUAACUUCUGGGCAGUAUUUUGGUUGCUAAGGAGAGACCACCAAGCUAUCCCUGCCCUCAAGGAACUAAAGAGAAACUGAGAUAUGUUCAGCACCCAGAAGGAGAGGACUUUAAGGCAAGGAAUGACGAAGAGAGGGUCGUGUGAUAGACAAGCAGAAGGAAGGCAGGAGGAGGGCACCGAGGAGAGGAAGGACUAAGGACACAGUUUAAGGACAUCCAUGUUUGGAAACGCCACAAUGUGUCCCAUCACACUGUAAGGUUGUCUUAUUUAACAUGGAACUUACCAUGGCAGCUGGAUUGGAUGGCUAGCAUAGCCUAGGGAUCCUACUGGGUCUGCUCCCUCAGCACUGAAGUAACAGGAAUGCACCCUUUCUUCACUAGAUCUGAUUUCAAGCUUCUGGGAUUAUGGCUUGUGAACACUGCCUGAGUUUCUCAGCAGCGCUUGACCAUGGGUGGCAAUGAUGCGUCUUCUUGGCUUGCAGAAUCCUUUGUCCAGCUCUGUAGUGUGCAAAGAGUGUGGAACCUUCCCUCCAAUGCAGAAGUGGGGAGCUAUUUUUUGAUAGUUGUGCCUGUCUGCUCAGUUGAUGUCAGUGGAGUUUGAAAGGUACCCUCAGAGCAUGGGUUGUCCUGAUGUCCUUCGUAUUCUGAUGUUAAUUCUGCUCCCUUAAAAGAGCUUGCCCCCACUUCCCCAAAGGAGCAGUCUAUCACAUCCAUCACUGUUCGUCCAUCAUCACGGCUCGGCUCCCACGUACUCAGGUGAUCUCAUGGGAGUCUUCUCCCCAUUUAAACCAGUCAAUAAAGGCGCUGGAGGGAAAGGUGGAACUGGAGGUUUUACAGAUGGAAGGAGAGGGAAGAGGAGGAGAGGGGAAGAAGAAAGGACUGAAGAAGAGGAGAAGGAAGCCAUGAUGGAGCAGAACCACAUGCCCAGCAAUAAGCCAUCGAAAUCUUUUUUCCCAACUUCUCUUUCUCCCCAAGAGGGCCACUUAGAGGAAUGUGAAGACAAGCGAAGACAUGUAUGAUGUAUGUGCACCAUGUGUACUCUGGUGUUGGCUAAGGUGUUAGAAGAAGACAUCCCAUCCACCCUGAUCUGGAGUUCCUGACAGUGGUUAGACACCAGUUCCGUUGAAGACAGUGCUACCCAAGUGAGCAUUCCAAAUCAUGUCUAAAGAGAGGUAAGAGAUAUGCUGCAGAGUCCAAAGAGCAAGAUGGCUGUGGCUCAGAUGGCUUUACAUCUUUCAAGAACCAAGACCCCUGUCUGCUACAGCUCUGCUGUGCAAGCCCUGAGCACAACUGCAGCUUUCUCUGACAUACCAGCCCACAGGGACUUUCUCACCUAUACAGUGUUCUCAUGUCAAAUAAGAUCAUUGUACAAGGUCUUUGUUACAUUGAACCCUGAAUUUAUUCAGUUAUGUUAAAUGCAAUAAAAUACCUGGGUUUUGUACUUGC